ACUGGGUUGGCCGAGUGGUUAAGGCGUUGGACGUAAGUUCCAAUGAACGUAUGUCCGCGUGGGUUGAAUUCGAACCACACAACCAGUA
rnacentral:tRNA from 1 species